GACGAACGCUGGCGGCGUGCUUAACACAUGCAAGUCGAACGGAAAGGCCCUGCUUGCCGGGUACUCUAGUGGCGAACGGGUGAGUAACACGUGGGUGAUCUGCCCUGCACUUCGGGAUAAGCCUGGGAAACUGGGUCUAAUACCGGAUAGGAGCCAUUUUUAGUGUGAUGGUUGGAAAGUUUUUUCGGUGUAGGAUGAGCUCGCGGCCUAUCAGCUUGUUGGUGGGGUGAUGGCGUACCAAGGCGGCGAGGGGUAGCCGGCCUGAGAGGGUGGACGGCCACAUUGGGACUGAGAUACGGCCCAGACUCCUACGGGAGGCAGCAGUGGGGAAUAUUGCACAAUGGGCGCAAGCCUGAUGCAGCGACGCCGCGUGGGGGAGGACGGCCUUCGGGUUGUAAACUCCUUUCGCUAGGGACGAAGCUUUUUGUGACGGUACCUAGAUAAGAAGCACCGGCUAACUACGUG
rnacentral:rRNA from 1 species